UAAUUUUAGAUGAACUUAAUAGAUGAAUGGACUCAUGAAGGAAUGUUAUGCCCAUUUUGAUGAAAACACAUAUAGACAAAUAAACACCAUUAUAUAUAUAUAUAUAUAUAUAUAUAUGAUAAUAAUUUAAACACUUAUUUAAUUCAAAAUAAUAUAUUAUUAUACAAUGUCUAAUUGAUGUCUCCUUAAUAAAUACAAUUUUCAUGUACUUGUCAACAUAAAUAUAUUUAUAAAUCUAUAUAUAAAAUUUAUUUAAUAUAAUUUUCAUGUACUUGUCAACAUAAAUAUAUUUUUAAAUCUAUAUAUAAAAUUUAGUUAAUAAGCAGUUGGUGAUAAAGGUUAUGAAAUAUAAUAGCACAUGCAAUAUUAUGUUAUUUGGUUCAAUUGAAAAUGAUUUAGUGCUAAUUUGUAUAAAUUAUUUAAUUCUAUCUAAUUUUAUAAUUAGUAAUUUAUUUAUAUAUAGAAUUUUUAAUUUAUAUAUAUAUUAACAUAAAAAAAGUUAUAUAUAAAUGUACAUACAUACAUACUACACUAAAAAAACUUAAAGAUAACAUAUUUUUUUGAUAUUUAAUGUCUAAAUUACUAUUCAAGUAUAUAUUUUUUUCUCACAAUUGCUCAUAUAAGACAUGGCAUAUAAAUGAGGCUAAUAAUAUUAUAUUUUAAAUAAUUAUAUUUUUUAUAAAAAAAUCUUCAAAAGUAUUAUAAUAGUAUUUAAAUUGUUCAAAAUAACAUUAGAGCAUUGUAUUUGAUAUCACAAGCGCAAACAAACAUAUUAUACAAUUAAUUAAAAGUAAUUUUAAAAACAAGUUUAUGCAAGUAAUGCACAAAAAUAAUUAAUAAUACAACUAAUAUAUAUAUAUAUAUAAAUCAUAAUAUUGAAUAUUACCAAAUCCAAUAAAAUAAUAAUAAAAGAUCUUUUUUAAAUGUGUUUUUUAUUACAAUACAUUUGAAAUUCCAAGUUAAAAAUAUUUGAUCAAUACACUUCCAAAUAGUUAAUAAGUUAACACAUAGCAAAAAUAAAGACCUCACACUUUAAUGCAAUGUUUUCUUUGCAUAAAUAUAUUUAUCAUGCACCUAACUAAUUUACUAACCAACUAACACAAUAACAUGCAUUGAUAUUUAUCAAAGACAAUACAAGAAUAGAAAAAGAAAAGAAAAAUAGAAACAUUAAAUCUAUUAUUGCAUCUGAAUUGUGAUAUUUGAAGCGAAUUAUUUUUAAUGAAACAAAAACGAUUAUAGAAAAUUCAUUAAUCACCUUGUAUUUAUUUAUUUAUUACAUAAAAUCCAAAAUUGUGCAUUACUUUUUGUCAAUGAUAAGGGAGGAAGGUGUUGGAGUGUACUCUGAAACCCUAACUCUAAUUUUCUUAUUUCUCACUUAUCGUUGCCCAAUCCACCACCUCGCGUCAACCUCACUGGCGUCGUUGCCGACAUUCACAUCUGUGUUUCGGUGUUUAUGUGCAUUAGUUUAAUUUAUAUUAGAGUUGAUUUGGUUUCCAUUCGUAAUGAGCUGUUGAUAGAUAUCUCAAUCAUUCGGCAUUAGGCUCCCACAGGCGAAGUGACGAGUCCAAAGAAGGGGAGGCAUUCACCUUGUUUUUAUUUAUUGAUGGUAGUCAUGUUGGUGAUGCAGCAGAGCUCCUCGCAAACUCCCCUGACUGGACUAGUGUGUAGUGUUCCUGUUUGUACCAAUUCGUUAACGUCAAUGAAAUAAAAUAAAUAAAAAUAAAAUGCAUUAAAAAAAUCAACGAAUAAAACAAAAUAUCCUUCUACCAGGACUGAUGAGUUUUGAAGAACGGAAGAGUGAAUUUUUCAUAUCAAAAAUAUUUCCUCCGAGUAUAGCAGCUGUUCGCAUCUGCAGUUUGGCAUCAUUCUAAUGAGCCAAUUUUGCGACGCUCUUGGUAUAGUAAAUGCUAACACCUCUAGUUAGGUUACAAAAAUCUCAUAUUCAUCAUAGCAAAGGAUAUGCUCAUUCGAAUUGCAUUAUGACCUCCGUUCUAAGAAUUCUCUUAUGAGAGAAGAUUAUUAAACAACUGUUUCGCUGAUCAUUGGUGGAUUGUUCAAAUAUGAAGGAUGAUUCGGUACAUGCAGUUCACAGCCCGAUCGUCGAAGGAUGAUUCGGUACAUGCAGUUCACCGCUCGAUCAUCGAAGGAUGAUUCGGUACAUUGUGUGCAACUUCAAUGGGUGCCGAAUGAGGCUAUAACAUUACUUGUGUACUGCACUAAAUUCAUAGAGUCUAGGCCAACAUACGUUGUAGUACCAUUCAUGCACCCGAAAUGGAAAUCUAUAUAUUAAGAGCGAUCUAUAUAUUAAGAGACAAGUGGUGGCUCUCCUUCACCACAUGCACCCCUCUUGGUUUUCAUCAAAAAACUUAAGAUUGGCUGGAGUUUAAAAGGAAGCAAAAGCUUGGCCAAAACUCAAGUGGAGUUCAAAAGGAGUUCACAGGGGGUUCACAGGGCUCAUUUUAUUUUAUUUUUACAAUUCUUUGACUGAAUGCACUCAAGCAGAAUUCACAAGGAGUUCACAAGACUCAUUUAGAUUAAACUGUGUUCAUAAAGACACAUUACAAACCCGUUAUGACAUCAAGAAAAUAUCAUAACAGUAUUAUAACAUUAUAAUCUAAAAUCUAAUAUAUAAUUGAAUCAAAUAUAUAAUAUAUACUGUUACAUUAAUAUCUUCAUAUUAUAUAUUGAAAUAUUAAUAUUACAAUGUAAUAAAAUUAAUAAUAUUUGUAUAUCAUUAUAUAGAUAAUACAAUUAUCAUAUAUUAUGAUAUAUUAAUAUAUUGUAUAUAGUAUUAUAAUAAUAUUUAUAUAACAUAUUUAUGUAAUAAUUAUAUAUAUAUAUAUUAUAUGAUAUAAUAUUAUGUAUAGUAUUAUAUAAUAUGUAUUAAAAUAUAUACAUUAAUAUAUAUUAAGUAUAUAAUAUAAACCUAUAAUAUUAGAUUUAUAAUAUAUUAUAAUACAUAUAUUUAUAACUAAUAAAUAAUAUACAUAAUAUAUAUUGCAUGCAUAUUAAAAUCGCUCUAGAAGACAAGUGGUUGUGCUCAUUCACCGCAUGGAUUGAUCUUUGUUUUCAUCAAAAAAGCUCAUGUUUUGUAGACUUUACUAUAUGUUUUACAGUUCGUCACUACAUUUUGCAGUUGAUCAAGGGGUUCCUUAGGAUUCAAGUAGUGGUCCUUGGUAGUUGCAUCAAUAGGUCUUUGUUUUCAUUAAAAAAGUUUGCCUUCUCUAAAGUUCAUAGGACGUUCCAUAGGGCAUUUUACAAAUGAUUAAGGCAUUGUAUAGGAUGUUUUACAAGUGAUCAAGGCAUUUUACAAAGAAUCAUAAAUGGUGAGAAAGGACUUGAAGCUUUGAGAGAUGCUUUAACUAGCAAACAACAACAGCUUUUCAUUCACAUGGCCAUUGAGUCUCUUCAAAUAUUGCCCAAACAAAAAGUGUUUAGUAAAGAAUGGAUUUGUCAAGCACCCAAUUAUUUCAGUCUCAAAACUCACAUUACAAGUAGCUUUGUGUAAUGAAAAUCUAAAAAAAAUAGUGAAGACAAAUAGUGGUUCUCAUUUGCUACAUAGAUCUAUCAUUGCUAAACUUUAAUUGAAUGUGUAAUGUUGGAGUUUAAUAAAAUAGAGACAAGUUUAGCAAUGUGUUGUUUGUUACAUGCAUGCAAUAUAAUUGAAGAUGAAGUUUGGUCUUUUAUAUAAAAAAAGAAGGCCUAAUUGCAUUUUUUUUGUACUUUUUUGAAGUUGCACUUUGCAAUCACAAUAGGCAUUUGCUGAAAGUUUUUAUUUUUUAUAUCUGAAGUAUCUAUAUAUUGUAUUAGAGCUUUUGUCAAAGAAUUUGUAAGUGAAAGUAUAAAGCAAGGAUAAAUUUAUGAUCUAAUAUAAGAAAAAAAUUAAUAGAACUUCAAAGAUUUCAAAAACCAUGCUUUCUAUUCUUUUUAAAUCAUAUUAUCGAGCUUUGCAUCAUAAAGUGAGUGUAUUUCUAAAUAUUUUAAAAGAUUCAAAAAUUUAUAUGUAUUUGAAUUGCAUUGCAUUUCAAAAUCUUCAUUGUGCUUUGUAUUAUAGAGUAGUACACAAAAAAUUAUACAAAAAAAUAUUCGUAUAAUUUUUAAAAUAUAUAAUUUUUUUAUUAUACUUUAUAUUAUAAAAUAAGUAUAUUUUUAGAAAUUUAAAAGUGAGUGUAUUAAGGUGAAAUAGUUUGAACGUUGUAUGCUUUCUCAUUUUAGUAGUUAAUUAUUCAGAUUUAGAAACAAUGUAUGAGCAAUCAAAUGAAAACUGAUUGCUGAGAGUCACUAUAACAUUAUAUAUUACUACGGCAUUGUGGAGAGUUUGGAAAUUAUUUGAUUCUUAACUUAAAAUCUUUUAUUUAAGGUAUUUAAAGUAGCUUCAAGUUGUGUAUCUUUUUAUGUUAAUUGACUUACAAAAAAAUACAAGAUUGGAGGCACUUCAAGGCAUUAUGUGUAGAAGUAAUAACAAUGAGUUUUAUCACUAGAAACUUAUAAUUUGUUGACAAUUGGAAAAGAAAGGAUUUGAUAGUUGAAGAUCAGAGAUUGAUUUUUUAUUUUUUAUUUUGUAUUUUUUUUUUCACUUCAACUUUUAUGUCAUUCCUAUAGAAUUGAUUGUAAGCUAAAGGAAUUCAUUGUCUUAUUGUUAUAAGCAGUGAGUUAUUAUUCAAAAGUUGGACAAUUAGCUUUGUUAGGAGUGAGCAAAUGCAAGAGAUAUUAUGCAAUUCAAUCAAUUCUGAAGGCACUUUUUAUUACCUUUGGUAAUAAUAUAAUAAAAUAUAAUAGAAUAAAGAAUUAUCUAAAAUUAUACCAAGAAUUGUAGUAAAGCAAGUAUUAUUUUUUGGUUUGAAUUCAAUCAAGUUUACUCGAGUAGACUAUGUUCAUGUAAUCUAGAUAUUACUUUUACAAAAACAAUUUAGUUUUCAAACUCCCACAUGUUUCCAAACAACUAUGAAUUAUUUGUCAAGAACCAUGAAAUCUUAAUUGCUUAUUACAGAGAUGGAUUCUAUAGAUAAAAAGACUCUCAAGAUAUAUAUAUAUAUAUAUAUAUAUUCCAUCUUUAUAGUUUUACAGUUUAUAUUUUUAUAGUAUUAUAAUUUUAUCAAAUAUCUAUAUGAUUUUAUAGUUUUGUAUUUUUAUAUUUAUAAUUUUAUAACUUCAUAUUUAUAGAUUAAAUUUAUGCAAUGAAGUAAUUUAUUAAAGACAUUAUAAUAAAUUACUUCAUAUCUUUUAAAUUUAACUUUAAUACAUCUUUGAAUGCCUUAAUACACUUUUAUGAUUUUUUAAUAUAUAUAUAUAUAUAUAUAUAUUUUCACAAGUAUUUCCUUGAAUAUUUUUUAUUUUUUAUUUUUUUUUGGUGCAUAUCGUCCAUGAUGAUGGCACAAGUUUAGCUAUCCUACUUUAUAAUUGAAAGCUCUAUUGUUAUUUUUAUUUUUUUUUAAUUUAAAAAACAUUCAUUGACUUAUAAAUAUAUUUUUCAAAAAAUACUUCAUUUGAGUCAUACUUUUUGUGACAAAAACAUGGAUUCAUUUAGUCUACUAUAUAGUAUGUUUGAUUAUUAUUUCAGUAAUUAAUAUUACAUUAUAUUUUUUCUUCAUGAUCUUGAUUUUUAGAUAUGUGUACAGUUCCAUUGAUCUUCUAUUGCAUUCAACAUUACUUCUCUAUUGUUGGUUUGUUCUUUUUGAUUCCUUUCAUAGAUGAUGUUUCUACUAAAGAAUCAAACUCUAUUCUUUCAUAAUCUUAACAAGUCUAUUUAAUAGAAUUUGUUUAUGCAUGAGCUGCAUGUUGUAGCAAUACAGUGAAGUUUUAGGUAUUUAUGUGAUUUGUAAUAAAAAUUCACCUCCAAAGAGAUAAAAGAAAAACAAAGCAUUAUCAAGCAAGUGAUUAUUUAAUAUAUUGAUGCAAUUAAUUAUAUCAUCCUUGUAGAAUUGAUCGCAAGCAACAUUAAGUGGAGCAUGUUAGAGCGCUGUAAAGAAAUUCUAUUGUAACUCGGUCAAGUGAGUGUGAUUUGUGGCACAAAUUCAUUUUUUUCUUUCUACCUAAAGUUUUUAUUUUUUUUCAUAUAUUAUGUACUACAAGUACCAAAGGAGCAACUCCCAACUAUCUUCAUUUGGCAACCGGUAAUGUAGAUGCCCAUUUCAAGUAAUCUGGAGCUCUUUUUUGUAAAUGAAAUUUACAAUUAAGUGUGUGCCAUUGCAAACGUGGAAUGAUUCAGAGAAUAAUAUUGGAGGCUCCUAUAUAUAUAUAUAUAUAUAUAUUUCACUAGCAAGCAGAAGAAAUAAGAUUGUAGGUGAAUAAAAAGCUAAUAAUUGCACCUUUGAAUCUAACUUCUGCAAUAUUGUUGUGUGCCACAUUUACUUCAGCAAGUUGUUAUGCUUGUGCAAAAAAAAUUCAUAAAUAAAUUAUUCUACAAUUUAUAGAAAAUUUAUAGCAAUCAUGAUAUUAAGUUUGUAAUUAUUUUUUUAGCACAAUAAAUAAAAAGGUAUAUAUGAAUUAUUGACUGUGUGAAUGUGUUUUUGAACCAUGUUGAAUUUAAGUUUUUUUGUUUUUUGUUUUUUUUUCAUUGUAUUUUCAAUAUAAGAUUAACUUAAUUAUUAUUAUAUACUAUAAUUUUUAAAGUUUUAUUUAAAAAUUUAUAAUAAGGAAAAAUAUAUAAUUUGAAUAAAUUUUAUAAAAUGAAUUUGUGUUGAUUUUUUUAAUUUUUAAUUUUAAGAUAAAUGAUUUUAAUUACAAUAGAUGGAUGACUUAAAAUUUAAAGAAAAAAUCAAGUAAACCAAAGGAUAAAAAUAAAUAUAAAGAAUGUUAUAAAUAAAAUAAAUAUCAAUAAAACAUUUCAUAAAGAAUUAUAUAUAUAUAUAUAUAUAUAAUUUAUUCAAUUUUUGCCUAAAUACUAUAUUUUUUAAAAAUAAUUUAACUCAAAAUUUAAAUUAUAAUAAAAUGGCUAUUAUAAAUUUACUUAUUUUAAUAUUAAAAUAAUUAGUAUUAAGUUAUUUAAUUGAUUUAUUUAUAUUUUUUUAUUUGUGAAGCUUGCAUUUGCUGUACCAUGACUUAAUUUCUCAUUCACCUAAAUAAUUUAAAUACAAUUUUUCUAUUUUCUCUUGUUAUCUCUACUUACAAAAACAAUAAUAUCUAAUUUAAUAUUAUGUCAAAAGUUGGAUAUAAGUUUAAUAAUAUUUUUUAUAUCAUCAAUAAUAAUAUGUUAUUUAUUAAAAAUAUAUAAACAAAUAAAUAAAAUAGAUUGAAUUAUUUUACAUGUGUAAUUAAUUGUACACUAAGUCUAUGACCUGAUUUGUAAAAGGUAAAUGUUCCUCUAAGAUAUUUUUUCGCUCUAUCAUUUUGUUUUAUUUUUUUGUUUUUAGACUUUGUUAUAUUAAUAUAGAAUUAUUUUUAAAGAACUUGAAUGCAAAAUUUCCUACUAAUGUGUAAGAUAAAAUACUUAAGAAGCUAAAAUGUUGAUAUCAAUAAACUAAAUUUUUUGAAAAUCUAUAUCAAAAAUCCUUGACAAUGGCACGGAUUCAACUAAUCAGAUGUAAAUUCAAUAAAGUAUGUCAAUUGAUAUUGCACUUUGUGUCUAAUUUAAUUGUUUUACAAAUUAACAAGAUUUAUAUCAUAACAUAUUCAAAUAGGGAUAUCCUCAUUGAGAAUGAAGUCAAGACUAUUGAAUGGCAAUGAAGGCUCUUGAAAAAUUGUAAAACUUUAUAUUCCCUCGCUAGCAUUCUAAAUAAAUUUAUUUUGGUUUUUAAGGAACCAUAUUUUUUGGUGAGCAUCCUUGUUUUUAUGUAAAUUCUUAUGAUUAAAAGCAAUAAAUGGUAGAAUUUACAUAUAUUAGGCAGCAAUUCUGAUUUUUUCUUUGCUUAUUUUAAGAGCAUCUAAUAGAUAGAUGCCCUUGAUGUCGAUUGCAAGAAUGGGAUUCAUGGAAAAAGAAAUAAAUAUGAUGCAUUCUCUUGACCAACAUUAUCAUGAAUCCUUGUCAUUAGCAAGUGCAAUGUCUUAUUUGAAUUUUUCAAGCUCAAAGUCUUGAGGCUAAUUUACAUUACAAAAUUCUUUAUUGAAUGGAAGCUUUUUCAUGUCAGCUAGAUUGAAUAAACAACUAGAUGUACAAAACUUCCUAGAGCAAGGCCUAAUAAGACAAAUAUUUACUUAAACUUGACAUAAUUGCCAAACAAAAAAUCUCUUGCCCAUAUUCUACAAUGUCCAUUUAUAACAUAUAAGACUUGAAAUUUGGAUGUUAGAGAUGUGGUUUUAAAAUUGUCUAGAUUUAGUCAAGUAUCAAUUAAUUGGGAUCAAGCAUUGAUGUGCCUUCUUAGUGGUAAACUUCUUCUUGACACCUCAAAAAACUGCAAUAAUUUCAUUUUGCUCUAAGUAAUUUUUUGCAAUCCAUAAUUGAUUUCAAUGAUGAUUCAUUUUUAGAAGAGUCAAAUCCAUUGAAAGAUAGAAAAGGUCUCUUAAGUUUCUUUCUAAUACUUAAACUAAUGUCCAUUCUUAGAUAUGGCUCUCUUCAAGACAUACUCAAAGAAGAUGGUCACAACUUCAAGCUUGAAUUAUUUUUGGCAAUUUCUUGUAUGUGAAAUUGAAUUUCAAAAGAAGGUCCUAAUUUUUUGAUAUUAACAAAUCAGACUAAAGAAUUUAAUUAGUGGUCUUUGAUAUGCAAUGAUAUACUUGCGUCUAGCUAUAUCAAUAGUUGUAUUGGUUCAAAAAAUAGUUUCUUCCAAUAAUUUGUAUCAAUGUGCCUAAUCUUGAUUUAUUAAGUCUCUUUAGGUCCACAAUAUUAGUACUAAGAGGUAUCCUUUUGGCUUAGCCUUUUCACUAUUAUUCUUUAAAUUAUAAAGCUAUAAAUGUGAGAUAUUACUAUUACAGAUUAAAAACUUUAUGGUAUCAAAGCAAGUUCAAUAUUAGAUUCAGCAAUUUAAGAAUAAGAAUUUUUUUAAAAAAUAUUUGGAAGGAUUUAUAUUUGAAUGUGUUUUUUUUUUUUAUCUUUGAUUAUUUAGAUGUUUAAGAUUAAAAAAAAAAAAAAAAAAAAAAAAAAAAAAGACUAAGAAAAAGAGAGUCCAUUUUGGAAUUCCUAUAUCACUAGAAGUUAAAAAGAAGUUUAGAUAUAGCAAUGGCUGAAUAGUUUGAGAACAAAAACAUUUAAGUUAGUAGAGCUAAUAAGUUGGAAGUAGCUGCUAACUUCUAUACAUAUAAAAUUAAGAUAAAAGCACUACACAAAAAAGAAGGUUUAUAGAAAAUAGUUGAAAGCAAAAUUAUACCUAAUUCAUAUUUAUUUUUUAUAGGAGGUAUAAAUUUGAGAAAAAACUUCAAUUAAUAAAGACUAAUGCCUAAUCAUGCCAUAGUUAUAUCUAUAAAGGAUAAACUUUUAAAAGUGGUAGCUGAUAUAGCCAAUUUAAUAGAUCAAUGGUCAUGACUACCAAAUAAAUUUCAAUCAAGUGAUAUAUCAUAAUUUUUGAUAAUUUCAAGAAACCAAAAUAAAAGAAAGAAAGUCUAGGAUUAUCUAAACACCUUCAAAGAUAUAAAAAGAUCAAAUAUCUUGUAUGACACAAGACAUUUUAGAUAUAACUCUCAUUCACUUAAUACUCAAUGGAGUAUCUUAUAACUAUGACUCUAAAAUCUUUAUCAUUUCUAAUAUACAAGAGCUUCUUUCUUUUGAUGUACUAAGCACUAAGUUGAUUGUUGUCUUGCAUUAGAUGGAGCUUAUGAACUUUGAUUUUAGAAAAGAAGACUUAGAGGUAUUAAUCAUAAAAUUUCAUAAACACAAAGUUAGCAAGAACUUUAAUUCAACUUUCAAAAAGAAAGAUAAUAAAUUACAAAAAGAUUCAUGUUCUAAAUCCAUAUGUUAUUGCUAUGAUAAGAAAGACUAUAUUUCUAAAAAGUAUCUAGACAACAAGUAUUGUCCUAGGAAAAAACAUAGAAAAGAUGUGAAUAUAGUAGAAGUUAUUGAUAGUAAGUAUAAAGAUUCAAUCUAGGUUUUUUGUCUCUUAAGAAUAGUGGCAUGAUGUAUCUAUUCUUGAAAGUCUUGUAUAGACUAAAAUAAACUUAAUGGUUUUAAUAUCACAAAAUAGAUAAGACAUUAGUUAUUUUAAAAUAUGUCAAAAGCACAAUAAAUUAUAAUAUGUAUAUCUUAGAAAAUGAUGGAAAAUUUGUUGUGUUUCUAUUUUAAGUUAAUGAUCUUCUAUUUACAUUGAUGAUGAUGUUGAAGUCCAUUGGAUUAGACUUAAAUUUAUGGUUCAAUUUGAGAUGUUGGAUUUAAAAAAGAUAGAAUUUUAAUUAGAAGUAGAAAUUCUUUAAAUAAAAGAUGUCCUAAAGAUACAUCAACAAAAAUAUAUUAUUUAAAUAUUAGAAAGAUUUAACAUGAAUAAAUUUAAAUUUUUAAAUAUCCCUAUGAAUUUAAAGUUGAUAUUUUCAACCAAUAUAAACUCACUUAAAUGUGAUCCUUAAAAGUAUUGGGCUUUAAUUAGAAGCCUUUGUUUGAUUAUAACAAGAUAAUAUGACACCUAAUUAACAAUCAAUUAUUGUUUCAAAUUUAUUGAUACUUCUUAUUAGAUACACUUAAAUACAACAAAACAUAUCUUAUGUUACUUAAAAGGUAUAUUAGAUUAUGGCAUUUUGUUACCUAAGUACAACAUUCUAAAUCUCACUACUUUUGCAAAUACAAAUUAUGUAAGGAAUAACGAUAUUAGAUGCUUGAUAAGCAGUAUUGUAAAUAGUAUUAGAGCUACUACCAUUGGUGCUUUAAGUAAAUUAUAACCUACCAUGUUUACAAUCUACUUCCAAAGCUAAUUACAAAAGUUACCUUUGAUGUUGCAAGAAAUUUUAAAUACUUGCAAACAAUCAACAUACAAAGAUUUUGGGCAUAUCAACCAAUCAACAUACAAAGAUUUUUAGCAAUAAUUAGUCAAAUAUAAAGAUAAUUCAUAAUCCAGUUAUGAACAAAAAUAUAAAGUACAUUGAUAUUUAUUAUAACUUUAUUUGAAAAUUACAAUCAUAAGGAUACAUUGAUGUACUUAACAGUACAUCAGUUCUUGCCUUCUAUUGAAUUCAAAAGAAGCACCAGAUCUAUCACAAAGUUGCAACCUACAUCUGUCGACUCUCCCCCAAAGGCAACUCUUCGUUAAGUUUAAUGCUCAACUCCUCUUCUUCUCCGCCUGCAGCAAGGACUUGUUUAACCCGACUUCAGAGCGUCGCUCACCACUCUAGACAUACGAUCUGCUGAAAGCUCAAGAAUGCACCACCUAACAACAUUGCAAUAUUACGUGAGUUGCGGUAACAAGGGAGAGAUUCCGAUAGAGAGUGUUGGUGUCUAAAAACGGUCUCUCUUGAUGAUCCGUAUCACUGUGCCCAAUCCCGAUCCGUUAGGUGUCAGGUUAAUAGUAUCGGUAUUGGGAGGUGCCCCUUCAGCUCAAUCUUCCAGGCGCUGCUCCUCAUACUAAAUAGCUAGAUGUGUGAAAUGUUAGUAUUACCAAUUAGGAACUUAAGGUUGCGCCAUACUAGGUUGUUAGCAGUUGAUAACAUAUUGAUCCAAUUGUAACAAACAAACAGUUUCUUUACUAUGUUCUAAACCAGCAAAAUGGAUUUGAAAGAUCUUUUCCCUGGACGGUUAUUUUGCUAAAAAUUAGUGUGAUGAGCUUGUUUUCAAUUUCUGAAGUGGAAAUAAUCUGCACAUUAAAGACUCGUUGGGUCAACCUAUGAAGAGUAACCUUCUCCGACAGGGCAGCUCUGCUGCGGAUUUAAUCGUAGCCCUACAGGAUACAAUAACCGAGAGUGAUCAAAGCUUGCAAACGCGGCGGUUUUUUUAAUUUCAAGUUGAAACCUCUUCCAUCGAAAACAUCAAGCAGAAUGGUGGUUGUAAUCGUACAAUAUCACCAUGUUACUCAACUGUUGGUCUCUCUACGGUACUUACAGAAUACUAAUAUCUAGAUGAUCUUGUUCGAAAAAUGCUAGUCUGCCCACCAAAACUCGUUUCUUUCAGCCUCACCAUGGAAUUAGACGACUUAGCCGACUUGUCGGUGCCUUUUGAGAUGAGCGAAACGUGGACCACCCAUCCUCGCAGCAUUGCAGAGCGUGUUCGGGGGUCGAAAUUCAGCGAGCUAAAGAAGAAACUCCAGGACAGUGAACUCUCUCUGGACCAGCAAACCAACACAACUGAAAUGACUUGAUGAAGCUGUGGAGAAUGUGAAACAGCUCGAGCAGCAAGUGCAAAAUCUAAUCAACGCUGUUGGUCAAUGUAAGGAGUUGCAAAAGGUGAUGUAAUUUGACACGUUCAGCAGUCGAACAUCUUCGAACUGAAAGAUGGACUUCAUGAGGCCAUUUGUUGCACAAUUCUCUUAUGAGUACUUCUUGGUAAGUAAAUUUUGUUGAUUCUCAAUCACUUUGUAGAGCUGCUCCUCGUCUUUUGAUUUUUUGAUUUUUUGAUUUUUUUUAAAAUUUUAAUUUGUAUACAUAUAUAUAUAUAAUUAAAAUUUUUUAAUUUGUAUACAUAUAUAUAUAUAUAUAUAUAUAUAUAUAUACAGUAGUAAAUUACCUUAUGAUUGAAAGAUUCAACUUCUUCCGUUUGGCAAGAAUUAAAAGUGCGGAUUGAAAUAGUGGAAGUUUGGUAUGCCACGCUGGUCUCAGUAUGUGAGAUGACUGACACCCACAUCUGAUCUUUAGUAAAGAAAAAUGACCUCUUUCUGUAAGAGUUGUAUUGUAUUCAACUAAUUUAAAAGAUUUAUUUUAUGGUAUCAAUCUUAAUAUUAGUUUUUUGUACAAGUAACAUUAAAUUAAUUAUUGACUACAUAUCAAUAGGAAAUUUAUACGCAAUUUGAUACAAGGUCUUACAUUUGAUUUAUAGCACUUGUAAAGUCUAUUUCUUUAUAAAGAAUAUUUUAUUGUAUCAUUAAUUGAGGUUUUAUCAAUUUUAUUUUUUAGAGCAAGAAAAAAUAAUCUUAAUCAACAACAUUAUUCUUAAUUAUUCUUUUUAAAAAUGGUACAUACAUGCUAAAUAUUAAAGAUUGAAUAAUUAACAUUGAUUGCAUAAUAAUAAGGAAAAAUAAAUAUUUGAUAUUUAAUAUUUUAAAAAAACUAACAUUUUAAGUAUAUAAAUACCUAUAUUAUAGUAUUUAAUAUUAUUUUUUAUUAUAUUUAUUGAUAAUCUAUAUUACUUUUAAAAAUAUGUAUAUAUAUAUAUAUAUAGAUAGAUACCACCAUAUAUAUAAUAUACAUAAUAAAAUCAUGCAUAAAUACUAAAAUAAAUUAAUACAAAACAAAGUUUAUAGGAAAAAUAAGAAAAAUAUAAAAUAAGUUAAUCUUGAAAAUCUAUAAUAUUUAUCAAAGAUAGACAUUGAAUUAUGCUAUGAUUAUUGUUAUAACUUAUAUUUUACUUUUAAUUUAAUUAUUACAAAUAUUAAAUCAUAGUAAAGUUUUAGUCAAAAUAUAAUCUUAUUUUUGGUUUUGACCAUUUUUCAAAUGAAAUAUAUAUAUAUAUAUAUAUAUAUAUAUAUAUAUAUAUAUAUAUGGUUUUACUAUUUUAUUAAAUUAUUAUUUAAAAAAUUUACAUGAUUAUUUUAUUAAGUCUAUUGGCUAUAACAUUAAUUUAUUCAACAAUAAGAUUGUGAAUUUGUUUAUUAGCUUUAUAUAUUAUUAUUUUAUUUUAUUAUUUAUAAAAUCAUUUUUAGUCCUAUUUAAUUCAAUCUUUUUAAAUUAAAAUUUUCAUUUAUUCUAUUAAAUAUGCAAAAAAAAAUAAAAAAAUAAAAAUCUUAAGAAAAAUAAAAAUUUAUACUGAAAAAUAUAAAUAUUAUUUUAAUCUUGUAAUUUUUACAUUUAACCAUGUUUUAAAAUUUAUCUACAGAAAAUCAAAAAAAUAUUACGAAUUUUUUAUUAGAUAUGAAAUUUUUAUAAACUAUUUUUAGUUGUAUUUUUUAAUUUUGUCUCAUUUAUUAAACAACAACUCAACUGCAUAUUGAUAUGAUGUAAGAUAUUAAAUAGUCAAAAUGUUUGUAAUCAGUUGAUUGCCAUUUUUGCUAAUAAGGCUAUAUAUAUAUAUAUAUAUAUAUAUAUAUAAUAGUUGUUAUUUGAUAUUAAAGCUGGUUUGGUUGUAAAAGUUUAAAUUGAGUUACAACCAUAAAAAUAAUAAUUUUUAUUAAUUCGUCAUAAUAUAUAUAUAUAUAUAUUGACAUAUUGAUAUUGUAUAUUAAAGCCACUUAUAUUUAUUUAUAGAUGUACAUUUAUCCAAAGAAUAUUACAUCUCUUCAUGUAUUUAUUCAUAUAUGAAUCUAUUUAAAUUUAUUGGCUAUUUUUUACUUCAUCUAAGUAUUUCAAUAAUUGAAAAAAAAAUUAGAUUAGGACUUAAUAUUUAAGAUUGGCACAAAAAGCCACAUUCUAUAGAAUUUUACUACAUUAUUUAUUACCUACUUUGGAAAGAACUCAUAAUAUUUUGUUAUUUCAAUUUUGGUGUUGUCAUGUUAAUUCAAAAUCAAGCUUUAAUAAUAACUAAUUUCUACAUUCUCUAUAAAUAUUUAUAGCCACAAUGCUCUAUUACAUUAUUUUAAAAUUAAAACAAGAAGUUCUAGUACUAGUGUAUAUAAAUGUGUGUACAAUAGUAUCCUCUAUAAUUUAUAUCUUUCAACUAAUAUUCCUUGCUUAGUUACUAAUAUUUACUAAAAUUGGUUGUUUAUAGAUUUUAAACUUAUAAAUUUAUUUUUUAUAUAAUUAAUUUAAAAAAAAAAAUAAAAUAGGUGAAAAUUUAAAUAAUUUUUUUUAUAAUUUAAGUAUUAAUUCUUUUUAUAGGAAAUAGAUGAAUGUAAAUUCAACAAAGAUAAAGAUCAUUUAUUUGUUCAUUUAAGAUUUAGAAUAGAUAAAUGUGAGUCCAAUUAGAAAAAAGACUAUUUUUUUGUAUAUUUAGAAUUUAAGAUUUAUUAUUUCUAUGUUCUUUUAGACAUCACCUUAUUGUAAUGGCUAUAUCCAUGUAACAAGGUAUAUGUAAGAUAAUUGUAUAGAUAGUUAGAACUAUAGAAGUUUCCAGAAUUAAGGUUAGAUUAGUGGACCAAGUAGGAUCUACCAUAGAAUAUUCUAGAAAGAAUUUAGGGCUGUUGUUUAGAUGGGGCCCACCAUAUAAUCUUCUAGAAAAAAAAAAAAAUGAUAGUUUUCUAGAUGGAGCUCACCAUCUAGGAACAUUCUAGAAAGUUCAAGGUGAUAGGACAAGGUAUAAAGAGAAUAGCCAGGGCCUUUUGGGACAUCUGAUCAAGUAUGGCUUUAAACUCUUUUUCUUAGUAAAAUUUGGUUUUGCAUCUUUCUAUUCAAUUCUAAUUUUGUUUGCUCAGUUUUAUCUUUCAUAUCCUAUUCUAUUCAUUUCUACUGAUAUCAUUGAAGGAGUUAUAUAUGUAGCCAGCUAUUUGAGAGAUACAACAACCAUUUGGUGGUGACAUCGAGUUCAAAGCUAUAGAGCUCAAAAUAGAUUUUGUGACUAGGAAGAGUUUGAGACCGAGUUUAGGAAACAAUUUUGGCCCAUCAAUACAGAGAAGAUAGCACACAAUCAAUUGGUAAAUCUUAAAGAAGCUAGAUCAAUGCAAGCUUAUAUCUCUUGAUUUAAGUCUCUAUGUCUCCAAAUUGACAAUGUUUUAGAGGUGGAGAUGAUGGAUCAAUUCCUCCGAGGUUUGAAACGUGGGAUUGAACAAGAAGUGGAACUAAAGGAUCUACAAAUAUUUAUAGAGGUAAUUCGAAUCAUAGAGAGGGUUGAUGCUAUAGAUUUCAAAAAUCGUGGAUCACAACUUAUAGUAUGAAGUCCUAUGCCGCUAUCUAAUAUUAUGGCACAACAACCAAUGCUAAUAGAUAUUGAUGCCUUACAAGGAUUAUUGAUACCACAAAGAUAUGAUGUUAUGGUUGGUAUGCCUGGCUAGAAAUGAAAAAUAAAUAAGUUGAUUAGAUAAUAAGGACAAUCUCUUUUGAAGAUGGAAGAUGUAAAGUGAUUCUUUGCACCUUCACAUCAAGUGAAGAGGAAAGACAAUCUGCAAUCAAAGACUUACUUGUAGAGACGACCUUUAUGAAGAAGCAAAUAUAAUAUGAUCAACUGGUAUAUAUAGUGGUUCCAAAUCUUACAUCAAUGGUAAAAAAGAUAGUUAAAGAGAUAGAACAGGCAGAGCAAUUUAUACGAGAAUAUUAUGAUGUUUUUCUAAUCAAUCUUCCUAGUAGCAUACCUCCAGAUCAAGGUGCCCCUUUUCAAAUAAAACUAUUGCUUGGAGCCAAACCAAUAAGUUGACCAAUUUAUUGCCUAAUACCAAAAAAAUUUGAAGAGCUGAGAAAGACAUUGGAUGAAUUCUUGGAAAAAGGUCUCAUUUGAGAAAGCACAUCACUAUAGGCAGUACUGUAUUCUUUGCACCCAAGAAAGAUGGUGGACUUUGCUUUUGUAUCAACUAUUGAUGCCUCAAUAAGCAUAUUGUUAAAAAUGCAUAUCCACUUUUACGCGUGGAUGAUUUUUUUGACCAACUUUGAGGUACGACCAUCUUUAAUAAAUUAGAUCUUUGGAGCAGCUAUUAGCAAACACCUAUUGCAAGAGAAGAUAUAAAAAAGAUGACAUUUUAUACGUACUAUGGAUAUUUUGAAUGGCUGGUUUUAUCUUUUAGCAUCACUAAUGUUCUAACCUCUUUUAUGAAUCAAAUGAACAGAUUGUUUCAAGACCUUUUGGACAAGUAUGUAGUCGUCUUCAUUGUAUGCUUGACAUUGAUGCUUCUCACUUUGCUAUUGGAGUAAUCUUUUAACAAGACUAUGGUAGGGACCUUCAACUAUGGCAUAUGAAUUAUAUAAGCUUAGAAGGCAGAGUGUAAUUAUUUUGCACAUGAUCAAUAUCAAUUAAUAAUUGUACAUGCUACAAGGAUGUGGUCAUACUAUCUAUUGGGAUUGUUAGUGGUUGUUCAGAUUAACCAAUGAUCCUUGAUAACAUGAUUUGCAUUUGAAAAAUAUGAAAUUUUGACAUCAUUGUUGGAAAAAAUAGUUACAGCUUUUUAAUAUCCAACUUGAGUACAAGCAAAGGCAACAACAUAUUGUAUCACUUAGCUUAUUGGAGAGAUUAGUCUUGAAAGAUAAAUCGAAAGACAAGAUAGAAGUUGCUACCAUUAGUAAUAGCAUUUCAGAUCUAAUCAAAGAGACAAAAUAGAAGGAAGCUAUGCAUCAAGAUGCUUAUUUUAAGAUAGUUACCAAUCGGUUGAAGGUGGGUGAUAUAUAAUAUCAAGAUUAUACUCUUAGUGAUGGCUUGUUCUAUUUCAAAAAAUAAAUUUAUGUAUUUGAUAAUGCUAAAUUUUGGACAAGUAUACUUCAAGAGGAAUAUGAUAUCCCAAUGUCGGGAUAUCUGGAACGAAAGAAGAUUCUAGAAUGAAUCUCAAGGACAUGAUUUUGGACAAGUUUGGAUUAUGAUGUUUAAGCCUUUGUAUGCUUUUGGAAGUCAUAUCAAUGUAAUAAAGCACCCAACGCAAUGUCUCCUAGACUAUUGGAGCCAAUUUCACUAUCUAUGGCAGGUUGGGAGUAGGUGACAAUGGAUCUCAGUACAUAUUUGCCGCAGAUGCUUCAUAAUCAUAUUGCAACUGCCAUCUUUAUGAAUUGACUAUUCAAGCAACUUCACUUGGCCAUAGUACGCUUGGAUAUUGAUGCCUCAAUGCUUGUACGAGUCUUUUUUGAUACCAUCUUUCAUCACCAUAGAUUAUCUUGUGUCAUUAUUUCAAAUCAGGAUCCAUGCUUCACAAGAAGUUUUUGGUAAGUCUUAUUCAAGCUAUUAAGCACACAACUUGUCAUGUCUAUAGCCUUCUAUCUCCAAACAGAUGGACAAAUAGAAUGUGUAAAUUUAACCUUGGAAGAUAUACUGCAUGCAUUUGUAGUUGGAAUUUAUACAAUAAUUUCCAAUGGCCUUACAAGAGGCAUGGCACUGCCUCUUUAUUACACAAAAUUGAUAGAAGCAGUAUGCGCAUAACUAUUGGCAAUACAAGACCUUUCGAAAGGAUGAUCAAGUAUUACUCUUCAAUGCCAACUUCUCACUUGCUACAUCGACCCAAAUCCAUAAACUAGCACCUCGGUGGCUUAGACCUUUUCGUAUUUCUGCAGUAAUUUUUAAUAUUGCAUACCACCUCGAGCUUCUAUAACAUAUUUGAGUCUGUCGAGUCUUCUAUAUUUUAUAAUUGAAGGAAUUUCAUACCGAGCCAAAGUACUUUUUGGAUGGACACCAACCACCACUACCACCUAUUGUAGUUGAUGACUAAUAAGAAUAUGAAGUGGAUAAUAUUUUAGAGUAUUGCUACCUUUGUCAUGGUAGUAGACAUCCACAACUUUAGUACAAAGAUUUUUGGAAAGAUUAUCCCAUUUAUGAUGCAACGUGGAAACUUGUACAAAAUAUCAUCUAUUGUGAAGAGACAAUUUGGAGAUACCAUUGAAAGUAAAACAAAGAAGUUCCACAUUAAUAGAAUGAGAUUAAUUGUGACAAGGUAUAGAUAAGAUAAUUAUAUAGAUAGUUAGACCUAUAGAAGUUUCUAGAAUUGAAGUUAGAUUAGUGGAUUAAAUAGGAUCCAUUUUAGAAUAUUUUAAAAAGAAUUUAAAAUGGUUCUUUAGGUAGGAUUCACCAUAGAACCUUCUUGAAAAGACUUAAGGUGAUUAUGUAGAUGGAAUCUACUAUAGAACCUUCUACAAAAGAAAUUUAAGGCAAUUAUCUAGGUGGAGUCCACUAUCUAAGAAUAUUCUAGAAAAUCUAGGGUGGUAGGACAAGGUAUAAAUAGAACUAAUUGAGGCUUUUUGGGGCAUCUGAUCAAGUAUGGCUUUAGAUCCUUUCUCUUAGUAAAAUUUAGUUUUGCAUCUUUCUGUUCAGUUAUGUUUUGUUUUAUUUCUGUUUAUUCAAUUUUGUCUUUCAUAUCCUAUUACAUUUAAUUUUAUUCAAUUUUAUUUUGGUUUGUUUUGUCUUAUUUUGUAAUGAGGCUUUAUAUUGCUUUAGAUUAGAAGGAUCUUAGGUUUUUGAGAUAGUCUGGUCCUAUUUCAAUCCACACCUUCAUUUCCUUGUACUUUUAGAUUUUUUGCCAUUGUUAAAUUUUUUGUAUUCCUUGCAUUCAACAACUUCAAUUCCAUCAAUAUUAAAAAAAGAAUGAAUGGAGCUAAUUGUCGGUGCAUGAGAAAGAAAUUGAUGAAAUAGUGAGUUAUUUAACAUAAAAGAAAAUAUUAGAGCAAGAAGCCACUUGCUAUGAUCUAUAAUUACUUUAUAGAAUUUUGUAAACUCACAUGUAUGCAUUAUGUUUCUAAAAGUAUUUGCAAGUUUAAAAAAAAUUCUUAUUAAAGCUAACAAAAGUAGAUGGAGUAUAGCUUCUAUAUGGACAAGAAGAUUGUACAACAAGGAACCAAUGUUAAUUCCAAAAAAUUAUCAUUCACAUACUUGACACAUAAUAUUAAGCUAUUCAAUGAAAAACUUUCAAUUGGCCAAAAGAUGUGGUGCGAUUGCAUCACUCGCCAUAAAAAUAUGCACCUUAACUAUUAUUGCAAAUCAAUAAAAUAAAAACAAAGUUUCUUACAUACUCUAAUUAAUAACUUCAACCUCCAAAGUUACAAAAUCACAACAACAUCCCUCAUUCAUAAUUAAUCAUGGAAUUCAUGAAUAUACAAUGAAUCAAAGUCUAUAAAGUUAGAACAUUCAUUUGAUUUUAUCACUUAAAACAAUAAUAAUAAUAAUCUAUAUAUUAAGAUCACUUAAAGAGAUAAGUAAUGGCUUUCAUUCACCACAUAUAUAGAUCUUUGUUUUCAUCAAAAAGAUUCAUGUUUUAUGGAGUUCACAACCCAUUUUAUUAUUCAUCCCUAUAUUUUAUAAUUAAUUGAGGAGUUCUACAUGGAAAUUCAUAGGGCAUUUUCCUACCCUCCUUUGUAUUGAUGGCAAAGCUAUACUAUUAACAUUCUUUAGCUUUAUUAUAUAUUUAUCAAGUAUUUUUUUUAGUAAUUGAAUUGUAGUGAAUGAAGCAAAACAAAAUGAUGUUAAUGUCAAAGUUCUAUUGAUGCAUUGAUAGUAAAGAUUGUAAAAUCCACAAGGCAUUUUAUGAUUGAUUAAAAGGCAAUCACAAGAUGUUUACAAAGUCCAAAGGGCGUUUAAAAUCAAAGUGGCAAGAACAUGCAUCUUGGUGAGUUGGUACUUUUUUAGUUGUUUGGCCUUAAUUCAAAGAGCCAAGUCUUUCUUUAAUAUUGGAUCCUAAAUCUCUCUCUUUUUCUCCCCUCUCCCUUCCUUCCCUCCUCUCUUUCUUUCUUAUGAUUUAAAUAUUCAAGGUUUCAUAGUCUUUCAAAUUGUUAUUUGAUAUUAAUGACCAUAUUUUUGUACGUAAUUUAAUUUUGGUCUAAUUAUGUCAAUUGGAGCAUUACUUGCUGGGGUUUAUGUUGUAGGUUUUGGCUCAAGGCAUAGAUAGUGUAGAAUUUAGGAAUUAAAGUAUUGAUGUUGGUAGUUUUUGGUAUAGAAUAUUAUCAUUGGAUGUUGCAUUUUGGAGAAGAAGAAUUUUGAGAUUGUGGAUUAUCAAUUCAUAAAUGAGAUCUUAGAAAUAUGACAAGUAUACUAUGAUAGUCAAGGAUUGCAAUAUGGUGUGACCAUUACAAAAGUAAUUGAUUGAACUAGAUUAAUGAAAUGUGUCAUGAUGGAGUUUAAUUAAAUGUGGAUGGAUUUAGCAAUGUAUUGUUUGUUGCAUGGAUGCAAUGCAAUUGAAGGUGAAGUUUGGUCCUUAACAAAAAAUAAGACAUGAUUGCAGUUUUUUUGUGCUUUCUUGAAGUUGCACUCCAUACUCGCAAUAAGCAUCUGCAAAAAGUUUUUAUUUUUUAUACCAUGAUUAUUUGUGCAUUAUAUUUGAAUUUUUGUUGAAGAAUUUGUAAGUAAGAAUACAUAAUGAAGGUAAUUUAUGAUUUGAAUUGAAAAAAAAAAUUGACAAAACUUCAAAGAUUUCAAAAAUCAUACAUUUUAUUCUUUUUAAAUCAUGUUACCAAGCUUUGCAUUGCAGAGUGAGAGUAUUUUUAGAUAUUUAAAAUUUUCAAAAUUUUAUGUGUAUUUCAUUGCAUUGCGGAGUAUUACACAAAAAAAUACUUAAGAAAAUUUAUGUAUAAUUUUUGAUUUUUUAAAAAUUAUUAUAUAAUUUCUAAAAUGUAUAAUUACUAUUAUAUACAAAACACUCAAAAUAGUAAUAUCUGCCCUGUUGUUAAAUAAUGACCAUACCAAAUAGAAGGGAGGAUCUUUUUGAAUUGCAACUUCUUGAGCGGAGUACAAUUGAAGGGACAUCAAUUUUUAAAAGAAAGUUGAAUAGUAUAUACUAAAACAAAGAGAUUCGUGUUGAAAAACCACAUUUUAUUUUAUUUUGGUAGUGUUGGGUUCUAGCAGAUAAUUACAAUUCUAUUGGAAGAUCUCAAUAUUUUCGUUUUAAUAAUUAGUUAUUGCUUUUUUCUAAAGCAUGAAGGGUGGGUGGAAAAUAUGGUCAUUGGUGAAAAAUUGGAUAGUGUUGUGUUUGAGCUCACAAGGAACCAACUCCAAUACAUUUCAUAUAAUAUCAUUUAAUAAACAAAAUUCUUGAAUAAUGUAAUUUUACUGGGAUUUUCCAAAUAUUGUCAACCGCAAUAAAAACUAUCCAUGACAACGACAAAGGUUCAUCUAGUAUAUAUUAAUACUCAACAUUUAUACAAGUACAGAUACUUUUUCCCACAACAUUUGAAUCAUGCCCGAAACAAUCACAGUCAACAUCACCACAUAUAUUCCCAACAGAUGAAUACGUAACUUUUUUCGUUGGCCAAACAAGGACGUGCAGUUUUCAUCUACAUUGUUCAUCCAUCCAUUAAUACAUCCAUCGACGGCCUCAUCUCGUGAUCUUCCCCGACUAAGGGACCCGGUUUCCGCGCAGCUGCGGAGCAUCUGGGUGCCCACUUCCCCUUCCGGCGAUGGUUGCUGCCUGAAAUCAAGCACCAGCUCGCGGCUCGUUUGUUUUGUUUUGUUUUGUUUGUUUGUUUGUUUUGUUUUGUUUGUUUGUUUGUUUACUUACUUCCUCACUCUCUCAUGUGUGAAGUUCGCUAAUGUAGCAGCAGAGCCACAGUAAUGCUCCUCCUCAGGGUGAACAGUGCGAAGAAGCUCAGGAUGAGCAAGAGAAUAACACGAUGGGGAUGAGAAUGAUGGUGAUACAAGGUGGUGGUGUAAGGAGGAUUAGGAAGAGGAGCACUGGAGGAGGAGGAGGAUGGUGAUGAUGGUGAUGGCGUGAUUAUGUGGCAUAUUGUUGUUGCGUGGGUUGCGACGUGAGGCGGAGGAGGGUUUGGGUUUUGGGACCCAUUGAUGAGGGAAUUGGAGUCGUUAUGGGGUUUGCUUUGAUGGGUGUGGCUCGUUUCUGGAGGUAGAGAGAGUAGGACAUUGGCGGAUCGGUGGCCGUGGUGCUGCUGGCGGCGACGGCGGUGGUGGUGGUAGUAGCGAGGUAACCAUGGCGAGCGGAAUGGCGGUCUUUCUCCAGGUUUUGUUUGCGUUUGUGUGCACGGUUGGGGCUUGUGGAGUGGCGCUGCAGCAUAUCUACCGCCAUCUGUGUAACUACACGGAGCCUAUCUACCAGCGUUACACUGUUCGGAUUAUACUUAUGGUGCCUGUAAGUGUUUGAAGCCCUUGCCGGAGUUCGCUAACCUGAUUUUGUGGCAUUUUUGGUUUGGUUUGGUUUUGUAGUGGACGCUUGAGUUCUAUCGAGAAAAAAUUAGAUUUUCUUUGGGGUGGAUUACUGUCUAACAGGUUUCUUGUCUCUUUCGGGUAGUUUGAAAGACUUGGGUUCUUGUUGUUUAGAUCCAGAUGAUAGGGUUUUUAUUGAUUGGUGCGUCCCGCUCUUAUGGAAAUUUUGGGCUCGUAGAAAUGUUAAGUUGUGGGUUAGCAGAUCUGAACGUACAGAAGUAGGCCACUUGAGUUGAAGUUGCAAUAUACUUGUACUACCUCCUUGAUCAGUAGGCUUGUAAUACUAGACCUGUUCUUAGCGAAACGCUUGAGUCACUGUGGGAUUUAGUUUGCGCCCACGAAUGAUAUACCGUUCAGUUUUGAUGGUCCCAGAGAGAGUUUUUUGGGUCUAUGGGUAUUCGUCAAGAUUAGGUUUUUCAACCUGUAUUUCUUCUCUCUCGUCACCUGCAACAGUUAUCUUGUUAAGUCAGAAUAGAUUGAUACCAAGGGUCGUCAUCAAUCUAUGUUGGAAUUUCUUUCACUGACUUGAAUUUGAAUGAUGUGCAGGUCUACUCAUUGAUGUCAUUUUUGUCUCUGGUUUUACCCAAGAACGCUAUCAUCUUCGAUUCAAUUAUUGGAAUGUAAGUACCUUAGCUAUAUACCGUUCUAUUUCGGAAAGAAAUUGUGAUUUUAGUGCAUCGCCAGUAGUUUUGUGGGCAUUUUAUUUUAGCAGGUGGGACGAGUGUCUGAAUGGAACUUGUCACGAUUUUAUUUUAUUUUAUUGUAUUUUAUAUUAUUCUGGAAACUCGUUUCAUUAAAUCUGACACUGUUUAUUAUAGGCGUGUUCCUCGUAGUUUUGAUCGUCGUUGUUUCUGAUUACAGUACUAGUUCAAAAGGUAAUCAGAUUAGAUAUACUUCUCAUUGAUUGCGAGUUAAAUUAAGUGCUAAUUUCAGUGUAGCUGUGUUUACCUAAGUCUUAAAGUUUCAGAAAUGAUUGAACCAAUGAAUUGAAUUGGUGGUCAUCCUUCCGUGUAGGCUUAACCUCUCAAUGUGUGGAGGACUUGGUGGUCUUUGUUCUUCCACCUUCCGGCAUCCUAUUUUUUAGCUCCAUGUUCAGAUUUGCCAUUUCUGUUGUGUGUCUCUUUGUUAGUAAUUCUCAUUGUGUCUUAGGCAUGUGAGAUUCUGGAGCGUGCUUUCUAUAUAAUUGUGUCAGUGAGACGGUCAUCAAUUGACAGAUGAGCAUGUCACGGCAUAUUACGGAUGUUGUGAGGAUGGAGUAUGUCUGAGCCAAAAUACCAUUUUUGCAACAUGUUUUAAAUCAUGUGCGUGAUGAUAUUUGUGUGCAGAUACGAGGCAUGGGUUAUCUAUAAUUUCUUAUCGCUGUGUCUUGCCUGGGUUGGCGGACCAGGGGAGGUUGUGACUAGCCUGACAGGAAAAGUAUUACAGCCUUCAUGGCAUCUCAUGACUUGCUGUUGUGCACCUAUUCCACUUGAUGGGUUAGUCUUUUUCCACUUUCCCAGUUGGGGGAUGCACUUCCUUUCUGCGAAGAUUUUCGCCUCUUCAUUUAGGCUUAUUCUUUUAUCCUAGGUAUCACGUAUUAGGAAUUUUGCCUCUUGUGGCUCUAGAUUGUAUAUCUUUACCGGUUUUACUCGUAUUGCAGACGGUUCAUUCGGAGGUGUAAGCAAGGAGUCCUACAGUUUGUUAUCUUGAAGCCGUUGCUGGUUCUGGCAGCAUUUAUUCUUUACUAUAACAACAAGUACGAGGAGGGAAGCUUCUACAUUGGAGGAGGCUAUUUGUAUAUCACUUUAAUUUACACGAUGGCAUAUUCUUGUGCACUUGGGGCACUGGUUCUCUUUUACGUAGCCUGUAGGGAUCUUCUAACGCCGUACAAGGCUCUACCCAAGUUUGUUUUAGUGAAGUCUGUGGUUUUCUUAACGUACUGGCAAGUGAGUAUUCAAUUCAUAUCUCAUUGAUUAAGUAAGAAUACUGGAUUUAUAACUUAUCCUUUUCCAUCUUUGUUUUAUUUUAUUUUAUUUUUUCCCCUGUUGUUUUUUUGUUUCUUCGUGUUUUCCAAUUCACUUUUUUAGCGGGUGGAUAGCUGAUAUGUUCAUAUACUUUAUCUAAUUCUGUCAAGUCCGUUUGAGGAACCUGUUCUUUGUAAUGAGCUUCUUUAUUGAGAUGCACUACAUGUUGUAGUCAGAUGUUUUCGCUUAGAUCAAGUUUUCUUCCUCCGCAUGUAAUGAAAUGGGAUUUUGUGGCAGGGUGUGGUAAUAUUUCUUUUCUCAGAGGCUGGAUCUAUCGAGACUCCUCAGGAGGCCGCUAAUUAUCAAAACGUCCUGAUUUGUGGAGAGAUGCUUCUUGCUGCUUUUGCUCAUCUUUAUGCUUUUCCUUACAAGGAUUAUGCGGAGGCGAAUGUUGGAGGCAUGGAAAGUAAUGCAUGGCAGAGCCUAUUUCAUGUUCUCAAUCUAAUUGACGUGGUCCAUGACACAUUGCAUCAGGUACUUGCUUACAGCUGUUCUGACAGCUAAGAAUACCCAAGUCAUUUUUGCAUUGUUAUGUUUACAUACAAACUGUGAAGUUAUUGUAUAAGAGCUUUUAGGGCACUAACAAGGAGUUGUAUUGCAGUUUGCUCCUACGUAUCACGACUAUGUGCUCUACAGCAAUGAUUCCGAAGGUGCUCCGAAACGUUACCGAACUCGGACAUUUGUUCCUACUGGACAGGAGAUGGAAAAUGUACGUGCUGGGAAGAGUCCCAGGCAUUCGGACGCUAAGAACUCACCGAAGGACCUCUCGAAUGAUGAGUUUUCAGAGAUGUCUAUCCCCUCAGGGACUGCUAUAAAACAGGGAUCAAGUCAAGGUGGGAUUAUUGACAUGACUGACGGCCCCCUCAUUGAUGAUAUAGAAUUAAGGCGAUCUUAUGAUAUG
rnacentral:lncRNA from 1 species